rnacentral:ncRNA from 1 species
GGCCACUCCCCGGGGGACCGCCGAUGCUGCGGUUGAGAGGAGGGCCGCAGCCCUCGACCCGCUGAACCUGAUCCGGCUGACACCGGCGUAGGGAGUGGAUGCGGCGUCUCCG